rnacentral:rRNA from 1 species
ACGUAGGGUGCGAGCGUUAAUCGGAAUUACUGGGCGUAAAGCGUGCGCAGGCGGUUUUGUAAGCCAGAUGUGAAAUCCCCGGGCUUAACCUGGGAAUGGCAUUUGGGACUGCAAGGCUGGAGUUUGGCAGAGGGGACUGGAAUUCCUGGUGUAGCAGUGAAAUGCGUAGAUAUCGGGAGGAACAUCUGUGGCGAAGGCGACACCCUGGACCAGCACUGACACUGAGGCACGAAAGCGUGGGGAGCAAACAGGA